rnacentral:antisense_RNA from 1 species
ACCUGCGGAUCCUGCUCCCGUCACCACUUCUGUACUUGGGGUCUAACAGGGCCUCAGCGCAACAUGGAGUUCCUCCUUCCCUGACAUCAUAGCCCCUGCCUGGGAGGCCUCCUGGAUGACUCGUCUCGCCUCCUCCCUUCCCUGGGAGCAGCCCCUGGCUGAACCUCCACCUCCAUGCUGCCUUGGACCACCUGCCCCGUCCAGUUGCCAUCACCUGUCAGAAAUAAGGAGAGUCAGCAAUUACCAGCCAGCCGAGGUCCUGGAAGCUGACGUAGAGCUCGUGCCGACGGCAGACCUGCCGGCCGUGGGAGCCGUGGACGUCAUCUGCAGGGACAGAAGGGGCAAGGUCUUUUCUGGGGUUCCUGCUGUGUGCAGCUACUAUGUGUGCAGCUACUAUGGGGUACCAGGGUGGGGGAUGCCCUGAUGAGCACAUUUGUCAAAUAAAUGAAUGACAGGAAACCA